UGCAGUUUGACAGGGUUUUCACCCCCCCAUCACUAUGGGAUCUAUGGUGCCACCAGUCUGCUAGCAUUUGUCCAUUAUUGUCAGCUAAGUUCCCUCCUGUUCCCUGAUUAAGAGGUGAUGACCAUUCCACUACCAUCGUCAACUCUCUCCUGACAUGAACUGAAGCCACGUCUCAUGUAGAGGUUCGACCGAUUAUGAUUUUUCAACGCCGAUACCGAUUAUUGGAGGACCAGAAAAGGCCGGUACCGAUUAAUCAGCGAAUUUUUUUAUUAUAAUUUUUCUUUUAUUUAUUUUUUAUUUUUUAAAUUAUUUAUUUAUAAUAAUGAUAAUUACAACAAUACUGAAUGAACACUUACUUUAACUUAAUAUAAUAUAUCAAUAAAAUCAAUUUAGCCUCAAAUAAAUAAUGAAACAUGUUCAAUUUGGUUUAAAUAAUGCAAAACAAAGUGUUGGAGAAGAAAGUAAAAGUGCAAUAUGUGCCAUGUAAAAAAGCUAAGGUUUAAGUUCCUUGCUCAGAACAUGGGAACAUAUGAAAGCUGGUGCUUCCUUUUAACAUGAGUCUUCAAUAUUCACAGGUAAAUUUUAGGUUGUAGUUAUUAUAGGAAUUAUAGGACUAUUUCUCUCUCUACGAUUUGUAUUUCAUAUACCUUUGACUAUUGGAUGUUCUUAUAGGCACUUUAGUAUUGCCAGUGUAACAGUAUAGCUUCCGUCCCUCUCCUCGCUCCUACCUGGGCUCGAACCAGGAACACAUCGACAACAGCCACCCUCGAAGCAGAGUUACCCAUGUAGAGGAAGGGGAAACAACUACUCCAAGUCUCAGAGCGAGUGUCGUUUGAAACGCUAUUAGCGCACACCCCGCUAACUAGCUAGCCAUUUCACAUUGGUUACACCAGCCUAAUCUUGGGAGUUGAUAGGCUUGAAGGGGUGGGCAUAAUUUGUGGAACGUUCCAACAGGAAUCUGUUCCAAAAAACGUAAAGUAAAAGGUUGCCAACCAACAACGCAUACAAAGUAGUAAUGCAUACAAACCUAGCUAACUAGCUGCCGAAUAGGCAUCAACUCACCACGUAGCUUAUUCUUAAUGUUUGUCCAUAGGCAACCAGAGUGAGGACAGACAUUUUUCGGAAUAAACGUGAUGAGUGAAAAACGCAAUGAAAUAGAUCACUCACCACCCGGUAUCUUAUUCUGCCGCUAUACAGCUUUGUAUGCGUUGUUUUUUGGCAACCUCGUUAUUUACGAAGUUUUUGGAAUAGAUUCCUGUUGGAACGUUCCACAAAUUAUACCCACCCGGUUUGAAGUCAUAAACAGCUUGAAACACAGCGAAGAGCUGCUGGCAAAAUGCACGAAAGUGCUGUCUGAAUGAAUGCUUACGAGUUAUGUUAUGUCAAUGUUAUGUCAUAAUUCGGACAAAUUAGUUCGCAACGAGCCAGGCGGCCAAAACUGUUGCAUAUACCCUGACUCUGCGUGCAAUGAACGCUAGAGAUGUGACACAAUUUCAUGUUAGCAGGCAAUAUUAACCUGUUGGGGAUAGGGGGCAGUAUUUGCACGGCCGGAUAAAAAACGUACCCGAUUUAAUCUGGUUACUACUCCUGCCCAGUAACUAGAAUAUGCAUAUAAUUGUUUGAUUUGGAUAGA
rnacentral:lncRNA from 1 species